rnacentral:rRNA from 1 species
UACGUAGGGUCCAAGCGUUGUCCGGAUUUAUUGGGCGUAAAGAGCUCGUAGGCGGUUCGGUAAGUCGGAUGUGAAAACUCGGGGCUCAACCCCGAGACGCCAUCCGAUACUGCUGUGACUUGAGUCUGGUAGGGGAACACGGAAUUCCUGGUGUAGCGGUGAAAUGCGCAGAUAUCAGGAGGAACACCGAUGGCGAAGGCAGUGUUCUGGGCCGAUACUGACGCUGAGGAGCGAAAGCGUGGGGAGCGAACAGG